rnacentral:lncRNA from 1 species
AAAUAUUCUAUACCCACCCACUCACUAACAUCCUAAUAAUAUACCCAAAUCAAAAUCUCCCAAAUUCUCGAUCAAUCCUACACCACCUCUGCCGCUGCCAUUUGAUUCAUCAUCAGCUGAUCAAUACUAAACUUUAGUUUCCUCAUCUUCUUCCAAACAAAAUAAUCUCAUUUCUUCAAGUUAAAAUUAAAAUCUUAUCGAUAUCCCAUUCCGAUGGCUUCCGGUCAUUUCUCUCUUUCCUUUUUUUCCAGUUACGAAUGGGUUUCUUAGUAUGUGAUCUGAGCUCUAAAUCCUGUUGAAAUUUUCUUAUGUGAUGUAGAAUUGAGAUUUUAAUUUUGAUAUGUGGUUAUUGGUUGAUAAAGAGUCUUGUGUAAUAUGUUUAUGUGUAAAUGUUUUACAUUUCCAGCUUAAAUAAUGUAAUUUGGAAAUAAAUUUGAUAUCUAAUUUAGGGCUGUAAAUAUUUGCUGAAAAGAGAUGGUGCAGUUGUAAUCUCAGUUGAGAUUGUGUUGUAAUUUGGAUUUGGUGUUAUUUGAGAA